rnacentral:rRNA from 1 species
UACGUAGGGUGCAAGCGUUGUCCGGAAUUAUUGGGCGUAAAGAGCUCGUAGGCGGUCUGUCGCGUCUGCUGUGAAAACUCAGGGCUUAACCCUGAGCUUGCAGUGGGUACGGGCAGACUAGAGUGCGGUAGGGGAGACUGGAAUUCCUGGUGUAGCGGUGAAAUGCGCAGAUAUCAGGAGGAACACCGGUGGCGAAGGCGGGUCUCUGGGCCGUAACUGACGCUCGAUGCACGAAAGCGUGGGGAGCAAACAGG